rnacentral:rRNA from 1 species
AUGAAUAUUCUUGCCUGGAACUGUCGAGGACUGGGGUUGGACUCGACAGUUGGCGAACUAAGGGACUUGAUACGGUCCUACAACCCGGCGGUGGUUUUUAUUUCUGAAACUAAAAAUAAAGUUGCGCCAAUGGAUAAAAUAAAGUAGAGCCUCGGGUUCCAUCAUGGUGUGGUUGUGAAUUGUGAGGGAAGAAGUGGUGGUCUAGCAUUAUCAUGGAGGGAUGAUGUUGAGGUCUCUGUCAGACCGUUGUGUCAGUGUUUUUUUGGACGCAACAAUUACUUUUGGAGGGAGAAGCUUUAG